rnacentral:rRNA from 1 species
AAUAGUGAUAUGGAGCAAAACCCUAAAAAGACGGUCUCAGUUCGGAUUGAAGGCUGAAAUUCGCCUUCAUGAAGCUGGAAUUGCUAGUAAUGGCAGGUCAGCAUACUGCCGUGAAUACGUUCCCGGGCCUUGUACACACCGCCCGUCACACCAUGAGAGUUGGAAAUACCCGAAGCCUGUGAGCUAACUGUAAAGAGGCAGCAGUCGAAGGUAGAGCCAAUGAUUGGGGUGAAGUCGUAACAAGGUAUC